CCUGUCAAUAUUUCGUAGUUUAGAAAUUCAAUAUUUCGAAUUUGAAUGCACACCCGAACAAAGCAAAUCAGCUCAACUAAUCUUGUCUCAACAUCCUGGAUAUGGCAAUCAGCCAACCAACAUUAAAUCGAUGCAACCGCAGCAGUACCAACAACUCCAAAUCCAGCAACAGCCAACAACCCCUCAAAAAAGGACCACAUAGCAAUUACUGCUCAAACGAACAACAGGAGUUUACGAAUGAUGGACACAUCGGAAAACAUUUCAUCGGUACAUUCUGCAUUAAAACUUGUCUGCCACUAUUUUUACCAGCGGUUGCCUUCCUGAUUUAGAGAAAUCUCAGUCAAGCACAAACGUCAUAUUCCUGCCUUGGUUCAUACCAGUUCCUUGCAUGAAAAUAUCACUGCCUCCACAGUGCUCGUGAGUCCAUUCCAGCAGCAGCAAGCAAUAACUAUUCGAGUGCUUAUCGCCAACAUUUCACAGCAAGCUCAGCAGCAGAACCACCUUCAACCAUAACUUCAGAAAAUUAAGAUUUCCUCCAGACCAUGACCAUCAUCCUAAAGCUUUAUUAUGGCAUCAAUAAUGUGGAACUG